UCCGGCGCAAAAUCCGGGGCCGGAGGAGGAGCCAGAAGAGGAACCUACGAGGGGGCGGCUGGCUUUCAGCCUCGAGCGGCUGUUCUACUCGUCGGAGGUGAUUCUGCCGGGCUGCUUUUUGCGACAGGACUGUGAACCCCCUCCUCCCUCCCCCGACAACUGCAGGAAUUCAACAGGAGAUGGAUAGUGAUUCUUGUGCACAGAGUUAGUACAUCACUAGAAGAGAGAAGAAUUACCCUCCACACGAAAAGAUUUCUUCAGAUGAAUAUGGCUUUGGGAAAACUUGUGUAAUAUGGGCAGAUGUCCUCUGUUAAUUAAGCCUUUUGGGCUUCAUAUCCUGCUUGGGAGCACCCAAAGGCAUUUGGAUGGCUGCUAAUGGAAACAGAAGACUGGAGUAGAUGAUCUGAUUCAUGAAGACAGUUCCUAUGUUUUUAGUGUUUUAUGUAGAAACAUCCUUUAAUUAUUUCACUGCAAAGAAAGGUAACAAGGCUGUUUUUAUUUAUUUAGGAGAUAUUUAUGUUACCUUCAAUAUAUAUUUUCAAGCCAAGGUAUGCCCAAAAAUUAAAUCAACCAAUCAUAACAUAUAAUGCAACAGUUCAGAACAAGACAAUAUCCCAGUAAAAACGUAAUGAAUAAAUGGAGAAAACACA